rnacentral:rRNA from 1 species
AUACGUAGGUGGCAAGCGUUAUCCGGAAUUACUGGGCGUAAAGCGCACGCAGGCGGCCAGUCAAGUCUGACGUGAAAGCUCCUGGCUUAACUGGGAGAGGUCGUUGGAAACUGAUUGGCUUGAGGCAAUGAGAGGGACACGGAAUUCCCGGUGUAGUGGUGGAAUGCGUAGAUAUCGGGAGGAACACCAGUGGCGAAAGCGGUGUCCUGGCAUUGACCUGACGCUCAUGUGCGAAAGCGUGGGGAGCGAACGGGAUUAGAUACCCCAGUAGUCC